UGGAGCUGCUCGGGAGGUCGAACCCGAAGGUACCUAGUGUGGCGCCAUGGCGCCAUCGAGGACGUCGGGAGAAACUGAGGCGCAGGGAGAAGGUUGGGCUUCCUGGAGUACAGAGCGAGGCGCCACUAACUGAGCGCCUACUGCGUGUUGCGCGCUUUGGUGCCCUGGGUUCAUUGACUUAAUGCUCACGAAGACGCGAGAACUCUAAGCCAGAACCUAAGAGGGCCAGAAGCUGGGAUCCAAGUCUACUUGUCCCACCCCCUCCACUGGAACUCCCUGGCCCCCAGCUCUGCACAGCUCCUGCCCUGCAGCCCUCGCCUGGCUGUGCUCCGGGAAGGCCUCGUGGGCACUUCACCCUGCUCUGCAGCCACACUCACACCCUGGAUCCAGGUCACACUAGCGGCAAAGACCCCACUGGCUCGGACUUCACCAACCUGGAGCAGGGGAGAGAAGCUAAGUUCUGACCUUUGAUCAGAAGAUGGGGAAGCCACACUCAACACGUCACUGCCUUGGGAGGUGGAUUUGGGGAUGGUGGGUCCUGGGGAAAAAACGGGCUUUUGGUGUGGAAAUGACAUCUUUCCUGUUUCCGACCUCUGCCUGCCUCAUGCCAGGUGAGACACCUUCAUGCCUGUUUCCAUGAUUGAGAACAUGGGAGUACGCUUCUUUCCACCUAUGUUCCUGGUGGAUUUUCACUGGAGUUGGGCUGCACUGUGGAAAAGGGGUUGGGCAGCUCCUGUGGCACAGUGAGGGGGCAUAGAAGCCCAAGGCAGUCGGUAAGAAAUCACCAGUUUAUUGAAUGAAAAACCCAACAUCAACUCAGUCCCUCCCACCCCUAUCUCCUCUCUAUGGCUCAGGAGACGCUCAGGACAGCAGGGCUGAGCCCUGGGAAGGGCUGGAGGAGAGCUUGGGAGAGGUAUGGAGAAUGAGAAAAACACUUUCAAAAUGAAGUUCUGUGCAAAAACUUCUGGGAAGGAGUGAGAGGACAAGAGAAAAGCUCCAAAGGGGCUGUGGGGCGCAGAUGGCCGGGCUGGGGGGUGCAGAGGGCUGGGCUGGGGCCCUGUGUCCUCAACCACUCCUGAGAACACGGACGGUCAGGACUGAGGGGCUCAGACCCCGGGUUGGUGAGAGGGAGGUGACAGGGAGGGAAGGAGCCUGCUGGAGGGAAACCUGGCUGGGAGGAUGGGUCUGGGCCCAGGCUGGGGCCUAAGGAGGGGGAAGAACAGAGCAGGGAAAGGCAGAAAAACUGACACGGUGGGAGGAGGGAGAUGAAUGGGAGAUGAAACAGAAUGUCUGAGGGGCCACAGACAGCAUGUAUGGUGGUGAGGGUCUGCCUCCCAUCUCUCCAAGUCCAGGCAGAGCUGUGCUGGGUGAGGGGCUGGGAGGCAGAGGCAGGAGCAUCAUCAACAAGGGUGGAAGCCACGAAGACAGCGACCAGUGCACAGGGUGUGUCACAUGGUACAACCAAGAGACUUGGCGUGCAAAGAACCAAAGAAACACUCAGGACACACACGACAUCUGCAGGGAACCUGGGGGUGGUGAGGAAGUCGUGCACGGGUGGUGGGGGGAGACUGGGAGGCCCCUCUGUCCUAGAAACGCUGUGUCACCAUAGCAACAGGGUCCUGGAGGCGGGGGAGCUGCCUCCUGCCCCUGUGAGCUGUGAAGCAGGGGUCCUGUGGGCUCAGGGUGCCCCCUUACCCUCCCUUGGGAAGCUCUGGGGCAGGUGGAGAACCCCAUAAGAGUUGAAAGUGGCCCUGGGUCCUGCUGGAGGCGGCAGAGUGAGUGGAUCUGGCAGCUGCAUCUUAGAGGACACCCUGUUGGCUGGAGGGGCUGGGGGAGGACUAGGCUCUCCUGCUGGGGACCAGGAUUCCAGCUUUCUCAUUUCCGGGAAGGAAACUGAUACCACAAGGAAGAGUUUGGAAGUCGGGUGAAGGAAGGCCUGGGGGACUCAGUCCAGGGGACUAUGGGCACCAGAAGGCAAAAACAACACGCCUUGGGCCUGGAGCAGGAGGGAGAAGGGGAAAAGCGGGAAUGAGGAGGGGCUGUGCAGGGGUGGGCUGGAGGGGAGGGGAGGGGAGGCGUCCCUGUGGCAGUGUCCUUCGGGACCUGGGCGAGUGAGAGGCAGACCCUGGUGCCAGGGAAGGGAUGCUGGGCCCGGGCCUGCUGGCCUCCCCCUGCCCGCAGGCGGUGAGGCUGGUGGCAGUGCCAGGAGGGAAAGUGGCUGGGAGACAGGGCCUCAGGUGGCCUUGCUGCCACUGAAGAGUCCCACUGGAAAGUGCUUGACAUGGGUGGGCCACUGGGCUGCCAGCUGGAAGAACUUGAUGUCACUCCACUCGACCCCAUCGAUGGACACUGGGGGUGACAGGAGAGGAGGGGUGACCAGACUGCUCAGGCCAUCUCCCCAGGGCCCCUUGGGAAAGGCCAUUGCCUGCCUCCCUCUCCAGUCCCUUUCUUGCCCUCCUCCCGGCCCUGCCCGCCCUCGCACCUCUCAGCAUAGUCUGCUGCUGCUUGGCUGAGCAGAUGAGGCGGCUGAUGCCUUCAAUGACCUGGCUCUUAGAAUCCACCUCCUUUUCUCGGGGUUUCUUGCUCAGGAAGAUGGUGGGAACUGGAAAGCAAGCAAGGCCACCUGUGUCCCAGCCCCUGGGGAGGCCGCCACCCCUCUCCUCCCCAGCCAACUGUCCUCUUCUUCCUGUGGCGAGGGGAGGUGAUCUGCAAACCAACCCCUCCUCCCUGGCACUGGGCUGUGGGUCAGGAUCUUCAGGUUCCUGACUCAGUCCCAGCACUGAGCUGGUGACUUUGGCUAAGGUCCCACUUCUCCCCCUGGGGCUCGAUAUCUUCGCCUGUUCAGUGAAGACCUUGGUCCAGAUGGUCUCUGAAGUCCUUUCCAGCUGGAACGUUCUAGGCAGCCUGUGGGGCAGGGGCCUGCCUCCCUAUCAGGCGCAUGCUCUAUGCAGGAGCCAGUGCAGCAUGAGUUUGUCCUCACGCUGUCCUGGGGAUGCCGGGGAGUGCUCCCUGUUCCACUCCCACUCCAGAAAGGAAGCAAGGGCAGGGAGGGCACUGCUGAGCAGGCAGCUGCCCCUUGCAAGUUUCUGUGCUGCAGGCCGUGGGUUUUGGCUGUGGGCCUGGCACAGCCCCAUGCCUGACCCCCCAGGGGAACUCUGCAGAGGGGAGUCACACACAGAAAUAGGCACAGCUGCUUUGCAGCACCCAAAGGAGGCGGGGUUGGGGUCAUGCCAGUGCUGCAGGUGCACUACCAGUUGCGGGUCCCCAGCUGGCACCAACGGUGGCAGGCGCUGCCGCAGCACUGGCCCAGCCAUAGGGGUUCCUGCCUCACUCCCACGCACAGGAGCCGGGCCAGCUCCAACUCCCCUCCAGCUCCUUAAGCUACCCCUGCUAUCCAGAAUGGACUGUAUGCCCCUUAAUCCUGAAAACACAACCACAUCCUUUUGCUCAUGAGGCCUCUUUGGAGCGGCCUCCAGGGCUGGGUGCAAGUUCUCUACUCCUGCGUCACAGGGACCUGGAGCUGUGAUAUAGAGAGGCCUCUCCCUGUCUGCAGUCCAUCCCGGACAGCAGUGGCCAGAAAGGCCCCCUUCAUUACACAGUGGCAGCUGCCUCAGCCCCUAAAGUACUGGAGCUCAGCAGAGAGUGAACAAGCGACUCUCUGCAGCCUCGGUUUCCUGCAUGACAGAAGGAAUGGCCUUGUCCCUCAAGGGGAGGUGGGACUGCCCCCUCUGCACCCCAUGCCAGACCAUGGGAUGCUUCUUCAUCCCAAAUAUCCCAAAAGCAGAUUUAUUCCCAGGCCCUGAGAGACGAGACGGGAGGCCUGGUGGCCCAUGGUCUUCCCCGGCCUUGGGGGUACUUGCCUUUCUUGUUCUUUUCUUUGGUGACCACAGUCAUGGCCAUGGUGCCAGAAAGCUGGGCCUCCCCACUAUGGGGCAGGCGGGACACCUGCACUGAGCGGAAGACACUCUUGAGGGUGUUCUUCGAGCUGGCGUCCCUCUUGUCGCCUUCCCUCCUCCGCUCCCCGGGGUGGCCCAGCCAGUAGUCCACCUGGAGGCCAAUCACGUCCCCAUAUGGGCUAUUAGGGCUCCUG
rnacentral:lncRNA from 1 species